rnacentral:rRNA from 1 species
ACACAUGCAGUCGAACGAUGAAGCCAGCUUGCUGGGUGGAUUAGUGGCGAACGGGUGAGUAACACGUGAGUAACCUGCCCCUGACUCUGGGAUAAGCCCGGGAAACUGGGUCUAAUACCGGAUAUGACUUUUGACCGCAUGGUUGAGGGUGGAAAGAUUUAUCGGUUGGGGAUGGACUCGCGGCCUAUCAGCUUGUUGGUGAGGUAAUGGCUCACCAAGGCGACGACGGGUAGCCGGCCUGAGAGGGUGACCGGCCACACUGGGACUGAGACACGGCCCAGACUCCUACGGGAGGCAGCAGUGGGGAAUAUUGCACAAUGGGCGCAAGCCUGAUGCAGCGACGCCGCGUGAGGGAUGACGGCCUUCGGGUUGUAAACCUCUUUCAGUAGGGAAGAAGCGAAAGUGACGGUACCUGCAGAAGAAGCGCCGGCUAACUACGUGCCAGCAGCCGCGGUAAUACGUAGGGCGCAAGCGUUAUCCGGAUUUAUUGGGCGUAAAGAGCUCGUAGGCGGUUUGUCGCGUCUAUCGUGAAAGUCGAGGUCAACUCGGAUCUGCGGUGGGUAC